UUUAGAGGAAGUAAAAGUCGUAACAAGGUUUCCGUAGGUGAACCUGCGGAAGGAUCAUUAUUGAGUUUAAAGGAUGUGCUGGCUUUAUUGCAUGUGCACUCUAACCAAUAUCCACCUUUGUGCACAAUCUGUAGACAAAUUUAUUUGUCUAUGUACCUUUACAAACAACCAUUGAUGUAUUUGAAUGCUUUAUUAUAUUAAAACAACUUUCAACAAUGGAUCUCUUGGUUCUCGCAUCGAUGAAGAACGCAGCGAAUUGCGAUAUGUAAUGUGAAUUGCAGAAUUCAGUGAAUCAUCGAAUCUUUGAACGCACAUUGCACCCUCUGGUAUUCCAGAGGGUAUGCCUGUUUGAGUGUCAUUAAUCUCUCAACACAGACAGAUUCUGUCUGUUGUUUGGAUCUUGAAGGCUUGCUGGCGUUGUCAGCUCCUUUUAAAUGAAUUAGCAGAAAUCAUGCAGAACUGGCCUCAGUUUGAUAAAGUCUUAUCUGUUGUUGCUGUCGCCAGGAUAACGCUAGUUUUUUCAGCUUCUAAUAGUCCUUCUGGGACUGUCUCCUUCGAGGCAUACACUUUGACACUUGACCUCAAAUCAGGUAGGACUACCCGCUGAACUUAAGCAUAUCAAUAA
rnacentral:rRNA from 1 species